rnacentral:rRNA from 1 species
GACGAACGCUGGCGGCGUGCUUAACACAUGCAAGUCGAACGGAAAGGCCCUGCUUUUGUGGGGUGCUCGAGUGGCGAACGGGUGAGUAACACGUGAGUAACCUGCCCUUGACUUUGGGAUAACUUCAGGAAACUGGGGCUACUACCGGAUAGGAGCUCCUGCUGCAUGGUGGGGGUUGGAAAGUUUCGGCGGUUGGGGAUGGACUCGCGGCUUAUCAGCUUGUUGGUGGGGUAGUGGCUUACCAAGGCUUUGACGGGUAGCCGGCCUGAGAGGGUGACCGGCCACAUUGGGACUGAGAUACGGCCCAGACUGCUACGGGAGGCAGCAGGGGGGAAUAUUGCACAAUGGGCGGAAGCCUGAUGCAGCGACGCCGCGUGCGGGAUGACGGCCUUCGGGUUGUAAACCGCUUUCGCCUGUGACGAAGCGUGAGUGACGGUAAUGGGUAAAGAAGCACCGGCUAACUACGUG